rnacentral:rRNA from 1 species
GACGAACGCUGGCGGCGUGCUUAACACAUGCAAGUCGAGCGGUAAGGCCCUUUCGGGGGUACACGAGCGGCGAACGGGUGAGUAACACGUGGGUGACCUGCCCUCAGCUCUGGGAUAAGCCUGGGAAACCGGGUCUAAUACCGGAUAUGACUCCAUGACGCAUGUUGUGGGGUGGAAAGCCUUGUGCGGCUGAGGAUGGGCCCGCGGCCUAUCAGCUUGUUGGUGGGGNGAUGGCCUACCAAGGCGACGACGGGUAGCCGGCCUGAGAGGGCGACCGGCCACACUGGGACUGAGACACGGCCCAGACUCCUACGGGAGGCAGCAGUGGGGAAUCUUGCGCAAUGGGCGAAAGCCUGACGCAGCGACGCCGCGUGAGGGAUGACGGCCUCGG